CGUAAACAAAGAAAAGCCCGCUGUCGCUAUUUCCUGGUGUCUGCAGCCCAUUCUCGCACGGAUUCUUGGAGUUCAAUUGGGUCCCAAUUCCAAGCUCUCCCUCACGAGCUCUCCGUAUCCUUGAUCACCGACCUCUAACCGCAAUACCCUUCUGGUUUUUGGGUGUUUUGAAGUCAAUAGCAAAUGUUGUUGUGUUGGAAUUGGCAACGCUCAUUAUGCGGGUUAGCUAUCAGCUAGACAUAAGUUAGCACAGCCCAUGAAGUAUCAGGAUAUUAUCAGUUCUCUCUUAGCCUACUCAACUCCAUUAUGGGCAACGUUGCUGGCCGUCGUUUUUGUGGUUAUAACACUUGCCUUGUCAUUUUACCUUUUGUUCGAGCACCUUUCUGCAUACAAGGACCCUGAGGAACAAAAGUUUUUAAUAGGAGUUAUCCUAAUGGUUCCUUGUUAUGCCAUAGAAUCAUUUGCAUCGCUGGUGAAUCCAUCAAUUAGUGUUGAUAUUGAGAUACUAAGGGACUGCUAUGAAUCAUUUGCCAUGUAUUGCUUUGGAAGAUACCUGGUUGCUUGCUUGGGAGGGGAAGAUAGAACUAUUGAAUUUAUGGAAAGACAGGGACGUUUAAGUUCUAAGACACCCCUUUUGGAAUCCAGUCAUGAGAAGGGAAUUGUAAAGCAUCCUUUUCCAAUGAAUUAUAUCUUGAAACCUUGGAAGCUUGGUCACUGGUUUUAUCAAAUUGUCAAGUUUGGAAUUGUUCAAUAUAUGCUAAUCAAGUCUUUGAGUGCAAUAUUAGCAGUGGUUCUUGAAGCCUUUGGUGUGUAUUGUGAAGGGGAGUUUAAAUGGGGAUGUGGGUAUCCUU
rnacentral:misc_RNA from 1 species